rnacentral:rRNA from 1 species
AAAAACAGAUAAGGGCAGACGGUGGAUGCCUUGGCUCUCGGAGGCGAAGAAGGACGUGAUAAGCUGCGAUAAGCUACGGGGAUUGGCACAUACAAAUUGAUCCGUAGAUUUCCGAAUGGGGCAACCCGGCAUGUUGAAGACAUGUCACACUGCAGAGCAGUGAGCGAACGUGGGGAACUGAAACAUCUAAGUACCCAUAGGAGAAGAAAACAAAAGUGAUUCCCUUAGUAGUGGCGAGCGAACGGGGACUAGCCCAAACCAGAUUUGUUUCGGCAAACCUGGGGUUGUAGGACCUCGAUAUAGGAAGACAAGAUUAGGAGAACGGUCUGGAAAGGCCGGCCAUAGAACAUGACAGCUGUGUAUCCGAAAAUCUUCGUUGGACUUAGAGGUAUCCUGAGUAGCGCGGGACACGUGAAAUCCUGUGUGAAUCUGCGGGGCCCAUCCCGUAAGGCUAAAUACUCCCGAGAGACCGAUAGUGAACCAGUACCGUGAGGGAAAGGUGAAAAGAACCUCGAACAGAGGAGUGCAAUAGAUCCUGAACCCGUCUGCCUACAAGCGGUAGGAGCAGCUUUUAGCUGUGACUGCGUGCCUUUUGCAUAAUGAACCUACGAGUUACUUUCUCUGGCAAGGUUAAGUGAUGAAGAGUCACGUGAGCCGAAGCGAAAGCGAGUCUGAAUAGGGCGGUUUAGUCAGAGGGAGUAGACGCGAAACCAAGUGAUCUACCCUUGGUCAGGUUGAAGGUUGGGUAAAACCAACUGGAGGACCGCACCGGUAAGCGUUGAAAAGCUUUCGGAUGAACUGAGGGUAGGGGUGAAAGGCUAAUCAAACUUGGAGAUAGCUCGUACUCCCCGAAAUGCAUUUAGGUGCAGCCUGUGGAGUUUCUUACGUGAGGUAGAGCGACUGAUUGGAUGCGAGGCUUUCACCGGCUAUCAAGUCCAGACAAACUCCGAAUGCACGUUAAGUAAGAUCCACGGAGUGAGGGCAUGGGUGCUAAGGUCCAUGUCCGAGAGGAGAAGAAUCCAGACCAUCGGCUAAGGUCCCGAAAUAAUAGCUAAGUUGACCAAACGAAGUCAGAGUGCGAAGACAGCUAGGAUGUUGGCUUGGAAGCAGCCAUUCAUUUAAAGAGUGCGUAACAGCUCACUAGUCGAGUGCUUUGGCGUGGAUAAUAAUCGGGCAUAAGCUAUUUACCGAAGCUGUGGGAUGUGUAAACAUCGGUAGGGGAGCAUUCUAGCGGCGCUGAAGGUGAGAGGACAACUCUUGCUGGAGCUUCUAGAAAAGCAAAUGUAGGUAUAAGUAACGAUAAAGGAGGUGAGAAACCUCCUCGCCGAAAGACUAAGGUUUCCUGAUCAACGCUAAUCGGAUCAGGGUUAGUCGGGGCCUAAGGGGAAGCCGAACGGCGCACCCGAUGGAAGAACCGGUUAAUAUUCCGGUACUAAUUAUGUGAGCGAUGUGGAGACGGAGAUGUGACGGUCCUGCCAACUGACGGAAUAGUUGGUUGAAGGGUGUAGGAGUUGAUCUGAGUAGGCAAAUCCGCUCGGAGAUCCGAACCUGACAGUACUCUGAGUGCUUGCACAAGGAGAUAUGGACAACUGUAACGGCGCUCCCAAGAAAAUCCGCUAAGCAUAUUGCAUGAUUACCCGUACCAUAAACCGACACAGGUGGUUGGGUUGAGUAUACUAAGGCGCUCGAGUGAUUCGCGGUUAAGGAACUAGGCAAAAUAGUCCUGUAACUUCGGAAUAAAGGACGCUCACAGUGAAGGCUGUGAGCCGCAGAGAAUAGGCCCAGGCGACUGUUUAACAAAAACACAUGGCUAUGCUAAAUCGAAAGAUACUGUAUAUAGCCUGACACCUGCCCGGUGCUGGAAGGUUAAGAGGAGAUGUCAUCGCAAGAGAAGCAUUGAAUUGAAGCCCCAGUAAACGGCGGCCGUAACUAUAACGGUCCUAAGGUAGCGAAAUUCCUUGUCGGGUAAG